GCUGUGAAAGGUGGGUGUUAAACGUUACGGUGCAAAUGACACCAGCGUAGAUUACGCUUUACUUAGCUACACAGAUGGUCGGAGAUAGGAAUGAUUACCGUCGUUUCAUUCUUGAACUACAGAGAUCUCCACGGAUUACUCGCUGGUUGAGCUGAGAAUUCCAGGGAGUUCUCUUCUUGCAAAGUGUGGAGAUUGGAGAUCGGAAUUGCUCGCCGAUAUUAUUACAGACAGUGCGGGCUGCCUGCAAUCAUGAUCUUUAUUGGUGUAUAAUAGCUUUACGGUGUUGUGCCAGUUUAUGCUGUACAACAAAGCUUAGUUCUUCUGGAAUCCCAUACAUCCCUGGAAAAACCUUUCGGGGCCCGAGUCGCGCCCGCGCAUGCGCAGUGGCACCACGCAAAUGGCAGAGAGGACGGCAAUAAUUUUUCCGUAACCUGAAGCAACAUCCUCCAGAGUCUCCAUAAAAAAGGCGGGAACUAGCCAACAGGCGGAGGAGUGAUGGGACUCGCGUAUCUGCAGUCCCGCCCACUUCAGCCUCUGAUUGGUGGAUAUCCUCGGCUCGUGGCGGAGGGGCCCACCUCAUUGGCUGUUAGUCGCCUGGAGGCUGGCCCGCGACGCCGGUCCCUCUCCCCUCCCCUCCUCCAUCUCAAGCUGUCGACGUGGGGCCGCGGCCGCAGGCGGUUAGGGGCUGGCGUGUGGGUGCCAAGCAGGAGGUGGGCAUGGGGGGCCUGCGGCUGCUGGCGGUGGCCCUCACCUGCUGCUGGUGGCCACCGGGAAGCCAGGGUAAGACUCUGCGGGGCAGCUUCAGCAGCGCCGCGGCCCGAGACGCUCAGGGACAGAGCAUCGGCCGCUUCGGAUUCCACGGUGACCAUGCUCUUCUGUGUGUCAGAAUCAACGACAUAGCAGUCGCUGUUGGAAAGGAAGCUAAACUCUACCUGUUCCAAGCCCAGGAAUGGCAAAAGCUACAGAAAAGCAGUCAUGGUUAUAGUUGUAGUGAAAAAUUAUCCAAAGCGCAGUUGACAAUGGCCAUGAAUCAGACUGAACAUAAUCUGACAGUGUCCCAGAUUCCAUAUCCACAAACGUGGCACGUGUUCUAUGCAGACAAAUAUACCUGCAAAGAGGACAAUGAGAAUUCUCAGGUGGAAGAUAUCCCAUUUGAAAUGAUGUUACUAAACCCAGAUGCCGAAGGGAAUCCAUUUGAUCAUUUCAGUGCUGGAGAAUCUGGGUUACAUGAGUUCUUUUUCCUCCUGGUCCUAGUGUACUUUGUGAUUGCUUGCGUUUAUGCUCAGCCAUUGUGGCAGGCUAUUAAGAAAGGAGGACCCAUGCACAUGGUUUUAAAGGUUCUGACAACUGCAUUGCUGUUACAAGCUGGUUCAGCUUUCGCUAAUUACAUUCAUUUCUCCAGUUACUCCAGAGAUGGAAUAGGGGUACCUUUUAUGGGAAGUUUGGCAGAAUUUUUUGACAUUGCUUCCCAAAUUCAAAUGUUAUACUUGCUUCUGAGCCUAUGCAUGGGUUGGACAGUAGUCAGAAUGAAGAAGCCUCAGAGCAGACCUCUCCAGUGGGAUUCCACCCCUGCGUCCACUGGCAUCGCUGUGGUCAUCGUCAUAGCACAGAGUAUUUUGCUACUUUGGGAACAGUUUGAAGAUACCAGUCCUCAUAGCCACCAUUCACACCACAACUUAGCAGGGAUCCUUCUAAUCAUUUUAAGGAUUUGCCUAGCAUUGUCAUUAGGCUGUGGACUCUACCAGAUCAUCACAGUGGAGAGAAGUACACUCAAAAGGGAGUUCUACAUUACUUUUGCCAAAAAUUAGGCAAUGUUUUAUAACAAACCAUGAAGAGCCGUCCUUCAGCAUAAGCAGAGGGAGCCAGGAGGCAGAGUACAUUCAACACUUCAGCCAUUUCAUGGCUUCCAUGUGAGACCAUGUUUACUUCAUUCCCCCUUUCCGUGUCCUUCUUAUGCUAGUGAGAUCUAAAGGCAAAUGGAUUUUCUUUCUGUACCCAUUUAAUAAAGCAAAAGAUCAGGAGACAAGUUGAGGCAGUAACAUUACAGAAGCCUCCCUCCCUUGAAGGUUAUAUUUUUUUGGUCAGAUUGAGAGAAUCCAUAAUCCAGCCUCUUGGCAACUCAAAACAGCAUCCUGAUAAGCUGUUUGGUCAGCCCACCCUUGUCCACAGUGUCAGCAGAACAAGGCUGCUGUGGACGGAGGGCCAAAUUCCUUCUUUGUUCCUAAUGUGGAGCGUUUUAAAGCUGCUGCUGCAGCCCUAGGAACCCAUGUCAGGCCUCUGAGUACCAAACAGACAAGGAUAUGCCAUUUCACUUUGGAAUUCUUCACAGAGACAGUAAUGCUUAUUGUUUGAAAAGUUAGUAAAUAGUUUAGGUGUUUAAGUUAAAUUUUUUCUUUUCUUCUGUUUAAAACAGUACCAAAAAUUCUUCUUAAACUUUAAUUUUUAUUUUUAUGUUUUAAUAUAACUAUUUUAAUAGGUUCAAACAUCCAAAAGUAUUUAAAGAAUAGCAAACAUGUUUCUUACCUCUCUCCUAUCUACGCAAUUAUCACCUCCUCAUGUAAUCACUAUUAAUUCCUAAUUUAUUUUUUAGAGAAUUUAAAAUAUAUAUUAGUUUAUAUUUCCCUUCACUUUUAUACAAAUAGUAGCAUACUAAAUGCAUUUUUCUACAUUUUGGUUUUUUUUUUUCUUAUAACCUCAGCGUACUAAGCAUUUCAAAAGCUACUAGUAUUAACUUAUUUUAUUUCAAAUUUAAUUUUGGAGAAGGAUAUGUUGCCAUAUUCUAGGAAAAACAGAACAUAUAUGUUUGAAAGGUAUAGUAUUAAAAAGUUUCCCCUUCCUACUUGCCUAAUUCUAAUGUCUUUUGUACUAAAUCUCAAACAGGUAACCACUGCUAAUCAGUUUUUUGUGUAUUCUUACAGAAUUUCUUUAUGUAUCUAUUGAUAUAUGCAAAUAUGAUUGUAUAUCCUUACUUGUCUUUUAUAGAAAUAUUACAUAUUUGUAUCUUGCUUUUCUCAAUUAUUGGUUUGUUACUUAUAUGUCAAAAUACCAAAAUGUGUGUGUGUGAAAGACAUAGGAUUUUAAAUACUCCAAAAAUCACCCAUUUGAUUAGAAAUAAAAUAUCAUUGUCACACCAAUAGCAAAUAUAUUCCUACAUUUUAUUGCAUGUUCUACUCUACAGGGCAAUUGAGAUCAAUCAAGACCUCCUAAAUAUGCUAGUAAUGUUUUUUAUCUGGUACAUUCUGAAAACAAAGGCAUAGCUGCACUUAUUUGACUUCUUUUUCGUUUCAGGGCUGUAUCCUGUGGUUUUUGUGCCAUCCAGGUCUUGCAUGCAUUUCUGUCAUUUUUAAUGACUACCAAAGAGAUAAGGUCAUUACAGUAGGUGUUAUCCUUUGCCAGUCUGUUUCCAUGGUCAUUCUCUACAGACUCUUUCUAUCC